rnacentral:rRNA from 1 species
AAUCCCUUAUCGAUUAACAAUUAGAGGGCAAGUCUGGUGCCAGCAGCCGCGGUAAUUCCAGCUCUAAUAGCGUAUAUUAAAGUUGUUGCAGUUAAAAAGCUCGUAGUUGGAUUUCGGCGUGCGCUCAGGCUGGUCGGCCGUCAAGGUCUGUACCGUUUGGGUCACGCCCCACUGUAGGAUACUCACCGCUGUCCUUAACUGGGUGGCGGUCAAAGGGGGUGUGCAUGGGGGCAACUCUGUGCAUAUCUCUGGGGUUCCUACUCUUUUACUUUGAGCAAAUUAGAGUGUUCAAAGCAGGCAAUCGAGCCUUGAAUACUUCAGCAUGGGAUAAUGGAACAGGACUGGGGUCCUGAUUUCGUUGGUUUCUGGGAUCUCAGUAAUGAUUAAUAGGGAUAGUUGGGGGCAUUAGUAUUUAAUUGUCAGAGGUGAAAUUCUUGGAUUUAUGAAAGACUAACUUCUGCGAAAGCAUUUGCCAAGGAUGUUUUCAUUAAUCAAGAACGAAAGUUAGGGGAUCGAAGACGAUCAGAUACCGUCGUAGUCUUAACCAUAAACGAUGCCGACCAGCGAUUGGGAGACGUUACAUGGAUGACUCCCCCAGCAGCUUGCGAGAAAUCACAAGUCUUUGGGUUCCGGGGGGAGUAUGGUCGCAAGGCUGAAACUUAAAGGAAUUGACGGAAGGGCACCACCAGGAGUGGAGCCUGCGGCUUAAUUUGACUCAACACGGGGAAACUUACCAGGUCCAGACAUAGUAAGGAUUGACAGAUUUGAGAGCUCUUUCUUGAUUCUAUGGGUGGUGGUGCAUGGCCGUUCUUAGUUGGUGGAGUGAUUUGUCUGGUUAAUUCCGUUAACGAUCGAGACCUUAACCUGCUAAAUAUGUCACUGGUAGACUUCUGCCAAAACAGGUGGGUGUCUAGGGGAAAGUUUCGAUGGACUCCGACGCAUUCAUCUGUGGAUGACUACCAGGAUGUACUUCUUAGAGGGACUAUCUGUAUCAAAGCAGAUGGAAGUUUGAGGCAAUAACAGGUCUGUGAUGCCCUUAGAUGUUCUGGGCCGCACGCGCGCUACACUGACAAGUUCAACGAGUUUAACACCUUGCUCGAUAGGGCUGGGUAAUCUUUGAAAAACUUGUCGUGAUGGGGAUAGAUCAUUGUAAUUAUUGGUCUUCAACGAGGAAUUCCUAGUAAGCGUGAGUCAUCAGCUCGCGUUGAUUACGUCCCUGCCCUUUGUACACACCGCCCGUCGCUCCUACCGAUUGAAUGAUCCGGUGAAAUGUUGGGAGCUGGGGUCUUUUGGCGGCGGGGCAACUCGUCGUCAGGGAUUCUGCAAACUUCAUUAAACCUUAUCAUUUAGA